AUGGUCCUUGUCAUCCUCCUGAGAGCAAACGGGGUCGGGAGUCCAGCCUAGGACUUGGAGACUCCCUGCAUCCCCAGCUACCCUGCAGGGGAAACUUCACUGAGCCCACUUGUUGACUUCAGGAGAUGUUACAGCCCAGAUAGCUCUUCAGCCUGCCCUGAAGUUCAAUGGUGGUGGUCAUAUCAAUCAUAGCAUUUUCUGGACAAACCUCAGCCCUAACGGUGGUGGAGAACCCAAAGGGGAGUUGCUGGAAGCCAUCAAACGUGACUUUGGUUCCUUUGACAAGUUUAAGGAGAAGCUGACGGCUGCAUCUGUUGGUGUCCAAGGCUCAGGUUGGGGUUGGCUUGGUUUCAAUAAGGAACGGGGACACUUACAAAUUGCUGCUUGUCCGAAUCAGGAUCCACUGCAAGGAACGACAGGCCUUAUUCCACUGCUGGGGAUUGAUGUGUGGGAGCACGCUUACUACCUUCAGUAUAAAAAUGUCAGGCCUGAUUAUCUGAAAGCUAUUUGGAAUGUAAUCAACUGGGAGAAUGUAACAGAAAGAUACAUGGCUUGCAAAAAGUAAACCACGAUCAU
rnacentral:sRNA from 1 species